AUCCUGGCUCAGAUUGAACGCUGGCGGCAGGCCUAACACAUGCAAGUCGAGCGGUAGAGAGGUGCUUGCAUCUCUUGAGAGCGGCGGACGGGUGAGUAAUGCCUAGGAAUCUGCCUAGUGGUGGGGGGAUAACGUUCGGAAACGGACGCUAAUACCGCAUACGUCCUACGGGAGAAAGCGGGGGAUCUUCGGACCUCGCGCCAUUAGAUGAGCCUAGGUCGGAUUAGCUAGUUGGUGAGGUAAUGGCUCACCAAGGCGACGAUCCGUAACUGGUCUGAGAGGAUGAUCAGUCACACUGGAACUGAGACACGGUCCAGACUCCUACGGGAGGCAGCAGUGGGGAAUAUUGGACAAUGGGCGAAAGCCUGAUCCAGCCAUGCCGCGUGUGUGAAGAAGGUCUUCGGAUUGUAAAGCACUUUAAGUUGGGAGGAAGGGUAGUAACCUAAUACGUUGCUACUUUGACGUUACCGACAGAAUAAGCACCGGCUAACUUCGUG
rnacentral:rRNA from 1 species